rnacentral:rRNA from 1 species
AUUGAACGCUGGCGGCAGGCCUAACACAUGCAAGUCGAGCGGAUGAAGGGAGCUUGCUCCUGGAUUCAGCGGCGGACGGGUGAGUAAUGCCUAGGAAUCUGCCUGGUAGUGGGGGAUAACGUCCGGAAACGGGCGCUAAUACCGCAUACGUCCUGAGGGAGAAAGUGGGGGAUCUUCGGACCUCACGCUAUCAGAUGAGCCUAGGUCGGAUUAGCUAGUUGGUGGGGUAAAGGCCUACCAAGGCGACGAUCCGUAACUGGUCUGAGAGGAUGAUCAGUCACACUGGAACUGAGAAACGGUCCAGACUCCUACGGGAGGAAGCAGUGGGGAAUAUUGGACAAUGGGCGAAAGCCUGAUCCAGACAUGCCGCGUGUGUGAAGAAGGUCUUCGGAUUUUAAAGCACUUUAAGUUGGGAGGAAGGGCAGUAAGUUAAUACCUUGCUGUUUUGACGUUACCAACAGAAUAAGCACCGGCUAACUUCGUG